UCCCAGUUUCAGAUUGGCAAGCUACUUGAAACAACUGGUUCUCUUGGAGCUCUUGUGCACCUCGCAAAAUAUAAGAAAAAUGGUAAAUGGGUUGCCAU